AUUGAUAAAAAAGUAAGAAUGAAGAGAAAAGGAUAAAAAAUCGGAACCUUGUUGUUUUUGUUUUUGGAAGAAGAAGCGGAAAUUGAAGAGGGAGAGGGAGAAGAAAAGAAGAGAGAUGAGAAAAUAGAUUUGCGAGCGAACGGAAUGGAAUGUCGAGUGGGGAAGCCUUCACAUGAUACACAUCGAACCGCCAUAUAUGCGGAUGAAACCACCGCCAUUUCUAUGCUUUUAUCUUUCAGGGGAGGUUUUCCAUUUUAUAUAUUGUCAUUUAAUUAUUUAUUAUUUAUUUUUAAUUAUUAUUAAUUUUUUACAUUAUUCCUCGUAGAAUAAAUUACAAAAAACACAGUGUACAUGUUAAUUAGAUGAGAAAUAUCAGAUCUGUUUCUGGAACAUUCCCUUCCAUGGCUAAGCCCAACGCGGUAACCACGAAAUCACAAUCAUCUCCAUCUCCAUCUUCUUCUUCAUCAUCAUCGAGGAGGAGAUGGACAAAGAGUAUAUCAACGAUAUCUGCUCGCAUCUUCUUCCUCCUCAUCAUCUUUCAGAUCCCUCUUUUCAGGUCAAUUAUACAUCCUAACCCUUCCAUCAUUCUUCGCGCUAUCGAUUCCGAUCUCUGCGGUUCUUCUUUUUUACAUUAUUAUUUUAUUAUUAUCAUCAUGUUUUC
rnacentral:lncRNA from 1 species